rnacentral:rRNA from 1 species
UACGUAGGGUGCAAGCGUUGUCCGGAAUUAUUGGGCGUAAAGAGCUCGUAGGCGGUCUGUUGCGUCGGCUGUGAAAACCCGGGGCUCAACUCCGGGCCUGCAGCCGAUACGGGCAGACUAGAGUUCGGCAGGGGAGACUGGAAUUCCUGGUGUAGCGGUGAAAUGCGCAGAUAUCCGGCGGAACACCGGUGGUGAAGGCGAUUCCCUGGACCGAGGCCGACGCUGAGGCGCGAGAGCGUGGGGAGCGAACCGG